AGAGUAUGAUCCUGGCUCAGAUUGAACGCUGGCGGCAGGCCUAACACAUGCAAGUCGAGCGGUAACAGAUCCAGCUUGCUGGAUGCUGACGAGCGGCGGACGGGUGAGUAAUGCAUAGGAAUCUGCCCGAUAGUGGGGGAUAACCUGGGGAAACCCAGGCUAAUACCGCAUACGUCCUACGGGAGAAAGGGGGCUCCGGCUCCCGCUAUGGGAUGAGCCUAUGUCGGAUUAGCUAGUUGGUGAGGUAACGGCUCACCAAGGCCACGAUCCGUAGCUGGUCUGAGAGGAUGAUCAGCCACAUCGGGACUGAGACACGGCCCGAACUCCUACGGGAGGCAGCAGUGGGGAAUAUUGGACAAUGGGGGAAACCCUGAUCCAGCCAUGCCGCGUGUGUGAAGAAGGCCCUCGGGUUGUAAAGCACUUUCAGCGAGGAAGAACGCCUAGCGGUUAAUACCCGCUAGGAAAGACAUCACUCGCAGAAGAAGCACCGGCUAACUCCGUGCCAGCAGCCGCGGUAAUACGGAGGGUGCAAGCGUUAAUCGGAAUUACUGGGCGUAAAGCGCGCGUAGGUGGCUUGAUAAGCCGGUUGUGAAAGCCCCG
rnacentral:rRNA from 1 species